CCUACGGGAGGCAGCAGUGAGGAAUAUUGGUCAAUGGGGGAAACCCUGAUGCAGCGACGCCGCGUGAGUGAAGAAGUAUUUCGGUACGUAACGCUCUAUCAGCAGGGAAGAAAAUGACGGUACCUGGCUAAGAAGCCCCGGCUAACUACGUGCCAGCAGCCGCGGUAAUACGUAGGGGGCAAGCGUUAUCCGGAUUUACCGGGUGUAAAGGGAGCGUCGCCGGCAGCGCAAGUCUGUAGUGAAAUCACAUGGCUUAAACAUGGAACUGCUUUGGAUACUGUGCAGCUGGAGUGCAGGAGAGGUAAGCGGAAUUCCUAGUGUAGCGGUGAAAUGCGUAGAUAUUAGGAGGAACACCAGUGGCGAAGGCGGCUUACUGGACUGUAACUGACGUUGAGGCUCGAAAGCGUGGGGAGCAAACAGGAGUAGAUACCCGAGUAGUC
rnacentral:rRNA from 1 species